rnacentral:lncRNA from 1 species
CAUGCACUUAUGUUAAAAAAAUAAUUUAUAAUAUAAAUAAUUAAAUGAGAUAUUUUGCAUCACGGUCAAGAUACCACAAUGUAGGACUAUAUUGUUAUCUUAGCCAAGAUAUCGAGAAAGAAAAUUUAGGAACUAUUUUUAAAAAAAUUAUCUGCCAAUAUGGAAAAGUAUAGGCAUCAAUAUUUCGGUUCAAUCUCAGUUGAUAUUUUUGGUGACAUAGCAGAAUAUCUCGCGCAAUAUGUUCAUACUAUCUCAACAGAUAUAUCAGAUUAUCAAUUUAUGAUGCUCUAGAUUUUUGGCACUGAUACUAUUAAUGUCUUGUAUGGGAAAGUGCCCAGAACUACUUCAAACUGUGAUCUUUGCCAAAACAAGAACCUUGCUGCUGCUCUGGAAAGACAGAUUAUUAGUUCAGCCAGUUGCCAAAAAGCAAAAUUAAAUUUAUCCAAUCAAAGCCUCCAAAAGCUGUUUAACUUGAUUUAACUUUAUUUUCUAUAGAAAAAGGUGNNNNNNNNNNNNNNNNNNNNAGAUUUUUGGCACUGAUGCUAUUAAUGUCUUGCAUGGGAAAGUGCCCAGAACUAAUUCAAACUGUGAUCUUUGCCAAAACAAGAACCUUGCUGCUGCUCUGGAAAGACAGAUUAUUAGUUCAGCCAGUUGCCAAAAAGCAAAAUUAAAUUUAUCCAAUCAAAGCCUCCAAAAGCCGUUUAACUUGAUUUAACUUUAUUUUCUAUAGAAAAAGGUGAAGUUAACUGCCAAGUUUUCCAUGGAUACAUUAGCUGAUUUGCUUGCUGUAUGAGAUGAAGGAGACGAAAAAGUUGUCAUUUCUGUAUCAUGAUUCUCUACAAAAUGAAUAAAGAGCUCCAUCAUAGCAC